CAGCAGCCGCGGGAAUACGAAGGGUGCAAGCGUUACUCGGAAUUACUGGGCGUAAAGCGUGUGUAGGUGGUUGUUUAAGUCUGUCGUGAGAGCCCUGGGCUCAACCUGGGAAUUGCGAUGGAUACUGGGCGACUAGAGUGCGGUAGAGGAUAGUGGAAUUUCCGGUGUAGCAGUGAAAUGCGUAGAGAUCGGAAGGAACAUCUGUGGCGAAGGCGACUAUCUGGGCCAACACUGACACUGAGACACGAAAGCGUGGGGAGCAAACAGGAUUAGAUACCCGAGUAGUCCCUGUCUCUUAUAC
rnacentral:rRNA from 1 species